rnacentral:miRNA from 11 species
AGCUGUGUUACAUCGUGCCAAC